GACGAACGCUGGCGGCGUGCUUAACACAUGCAAGUCGAACGGAAAGGCCCUGCUUUUGUGGGGUGCUCGAGUGGCGAACGGGUGAGUAACACGUGAGUAACCUGCCCUUGACUUUGGGAUAACUUCAGGAAACUGGGGCUAAUACCGUAUAGGAGCUCCUGCUGCAUGGUGGGGGUUGGAAAGUUUCGGCGGUUGGGGAUGGACUCGCGGCUUAUCAGCUUGUUGGUGGGGUAGUGGCUUACCAAGGCUUUGACGGGUAGCCGGCCUGAGAGGGUGACCGGCGACAUGGGGACUGAGAUAGGGACCAGAGUGCUACGGGAGGCAGCAGUGGGGAACAUUGCACAACGGGCGGAAGCCUGAGGCAGCAACGCCGCGUGCGUGAUGACGGUCUUUGGGUUGUAAACCGCUUUCGCUUGUGACGAAGCGGUAGUGACGGUAAUGGGUAAAGAAGCACCGGCUAACUACGUG
rnacentral:rRNA from 1 species